AGAGCACCGGAAGAGAUAGGAUAAAGAUGUGAAGGAGAUAAAAAGGGAAAGUAUUUGGAUUGGAGGGUUAGAGAUUUAGAAUUACAAGACACAUUGGUAAUAGUAAUUGAAUAAAUGUAUGUGGUUAGGGUUGUAUUGGGAGGCAUCAAAAGAUAAUGCUUCAUGUGGAAUAUCUUUUUCUCUCUCUCUUUCCUUGAGUCAUGCUAUUGUAUUAUCAUAUUGGAGACCACAUUUAUUCCAUACGUGAUGCAAACUCUCUUUAUGGUUCUAUAUAAAGGCCCUAACAUGCCACCACUUCUACACACAGCAAAGCAAACAUAGCAAGGUUCCAGUACUCUUUUACGGAACAAUAUAGUUUGGGUCAUAUAUACUAGUAUAAUAGGGUUUUUGUUGAGUUGUCUGCUGCAAGCGACUACACGGGUUGUGCUUACAGCCUGAAGAAUCGAGGGUUUUAAGGCUUAUGUUGGCAUGAGAGCCAAUUGUGAAUCGGAAUGAUACUCUUGAAGACACGCGUUAGAGAGCUAGGGUUGCGUUUCAUCCCUUUAGCCAGUCCACUUGGGAUCCGGCCAACAAUUCUUUCAGUAGGAUACUUUAGAUCUGGCUGUUCAUCAUACUUGUAAUAGCAUAUAUAUAUAUGAUCUCUUUCUGAUACAUGCGCGCAUAUACUUUGAUUAUAGUGAUGAUCCUUCUUAUUGGCCUAGUAAAGAAAUAAAUAAAUCAUCUGUGCUUAACUUAGGCUUUAUUAAAUAUAAAGCCAGGACAAUCUAGUGCUACAGGAAAGUUUGACAUUAGUCACGUGAUGUUCCCUCAAAACAGAAGCUGAAAGUGCAAUUUAAAACCCCCACUGGAAAUAUCUAGCUAGGUUUUAUAAUAAGAUAUUUGAGCUCAUGAAAUGCCUUUAAUCAUCUUUGGAAACUAGAAAACACUCUUGUUGACAUUGAUGAUCUUGUUGCCAAAUUUUCCUAGAUGGUCCUUAGCUGACGUCUUUAGGCAAGCGAAUUCUGUAGCAGACUCUGGCCAAGCAAGGAGAAUGGAGGAGUAGUGAUUUUGUGGUCUGGUUUAUGUCAAAGAAUCAGUUCAACUCAAAAAAUUAAUCUAUGUAAGGCCUUAUUAAUGGUUUACUGCAGAAAAUUAUGCAGUUUUGAUCAAUUCAAUGCCUGCAGGUUUUUGGUCAUGUUUUCUGAUUUGUUUCCAGGCACUGCAGAUCCUUGUUUAAUGGUGUUCAGGUGUUCAUGUGCGCUACUUGUUUGAGGAUCCUCCUUUGGUUUGCUGCUUCUCUUAAAUAAGGGUGUGGUCUUUUAUAGUCUUAGAGAGUUUAGGCGUGAGCAUCUUGCUCAGCGCAUAUGUUUUUUGAACUUUUUUUUCAGCUAGAUCGAUCGAUCUUUAUCGAGCAGCUCUCCUCUCUCUUUGUUCCUGUUCUGUUGUGCCUUUUUUUUUUAAAAAAAAGACCACUCAUGUAAUUAUUUCCUUGUAUUUUGCCUCGAGUUUAUGAUAUUCUAUGAUUAGGAAUAGCUAUGAUAUAUCAUGUGAUAGCAAGCAUGUUGAGAUACUAGUUGAAAUCCUAGUCUAAAAUAGGAUUUUUUUAAAAGAAAAAAGGGAUAUGUUUAGAAUCUUUA